UCCUCUGUAGCUCAGCGGUAGAGCAGUUGCCUGUUAAGCAAUUGGUCGUAGGUUCGAUCCCUACCGGAGGAG
rnacentral:tRNA from 1 species